rnacentral:rRNA from 1 species
GGGCCCGCACAAGCAGCGGAGCGUGUGGUUUAAUUCGAUGCAACGCGAAGAACCUUACCUGCGCUUGACAUGUCCAUGCACCAGGGGUAACGCCCUGUCCCCUUCGGGGGCGUGGACACAGGUGCUGCAUGGCUGUCGUCAGCUCGUGCCGUGAGGUGUUGGGUUAAGUCCCCUAACGAGCGCAACCCCUGGGGUCCGUUACCUUGGUGUCGGGCCCGACUGCCGCGCGCAACGCGGAGGAAGGUGGGGAUGACGUCAAGUCAGCACGGCCCUGACGCGCAGGGCGACACACACGCUACAAUGGCCGGUACAACGGGUUGCCAAGCCGCGAGGCGGAGCCAAUCCCAGCAAAGCCGGUCUCAGUUCGGAUUGCAGGCUGCAACUCGCCUGCAUGAAGUCGGAGUUGCUAGUAACCGCGGGUCAGCACACCGCGGUGAAUACGUUCCCGGGCCUU